CCCAUAGAUGAGGAAUCCCUCGUCUCCUACAUCCUAGCGGGACUCGACAUCGACUACAACUCGCUGGUAUCUAGUGUUGUUGGACGAUCUGACCCAAUUUCUUUAAGUGAUCUUUAUGCUCAGAUGGUCAGCUACAACA
rfam:Leersia perrieri chromosome 8, whole genome shotgun sequence.